rnacentral:rRNA from 1 species
CCUGUAGUGGGGGAUAACUCGACGAAAGCCGGAUUAAAACCGCAUACGAUCUGAGGAGGAAAGCGGGGGACCCGCAGGGCUCUCGCGCUUGGGGGGGGGGAUAUGUCAUUUUAUCUUUGUGGUGAGGUAGGGGCUCACCGCGGACAAUCUGCAUCUGUGGUCUGAGAAGAUGAUCCCCCACUGUGGGUGAGACACGCGCCCCACUCUUCUACGAGAGGCAGCAGGGGAGAUUUUUGCACUGUGGGGGCAACCGUGAUCCCAAUGUGCCGCGUGAGUGAAUAAGCUCUUCGGAUUGUAAUGCUUUUUUGGACAGAAAGAAAGGGUUAGUUCGAAUAUCGC